AACGCACAUUGCGCCCACUAGUAUUCUAGUGGGCAUGCCUGUCCGAGCGUCAUUUACAACCCUCGAGCUCCCUGUAGCUCGGCGUUGGAGUAUAUCUACAGAAGCCUCAGGGCCGGCUGUAGGCUCCUAAAUAUAGUGGCGGGCCCGCUGGGACUCCGAACGCAGUAUAUUAUUCUCGUUUUGGGCGUCGUAGCGGGUGUAGCUAGCCGUUAACCCCCCCUAAUGACACAUUGUUGACCUCGGAUCAGGUAGGAAUACCCGCUGAACUUAA
rnacentral:misc_RNA from 1 species